CGGGGUGCAGCAGGCGCGAAAACUUUACACUGUUGGCAACAGCGAUAAGGGGACCUCGAGUGCCAGGUUACAAAUCUGGCUGUCGUGAUGCCUAAAAAGCAUUGCAUAGCAAGGGCCGGGCAAGACCGGUGCCAGCCGCCGCGGUAACACCGGCGGCUCGAGUGGUAACCGUUAUUAUUGGGUCUAAAGGGUCUGUAGUCGGCCGGAUAAGUCUCUUGGGAAAUCUGGCAGCUUAACUGUCAGGCUUUCAGGAGAUACUGUCUGGCUCGAGGCCGGGAGAGGUGAGAGGUACUUCAGGGGUAGGGGUGAAAUCUUGUAAUCCUUGAAGGACCACCAGUGGCGAAGGCGUCUCACCAGAACGGACCUGACGGCAAGGGACGAAAGCUAGGGGCACGAACCGGAUUAGAUACCCGGGUAGUCCUAGCCGUAAACGAUACUCGCUAGGUGUCGGCCACGGUGCGACCGUUGUCGGUGCCGUAGGGAAGCCGUGAAGCGAGCCACCUGGGAAGUACGGCCGCAAGGCUGAAACUUAAAGGAAUUGGCGGGGGAGCAC
rnacentral:rRNA from 1 species